rnacentral:rRNA from 1 species
AUUGAACGCUGGCGGCAGGCCUAACACAUGCAAGUCGAGCGGAUGAAGGGAGCUUGCUCCUGGAUUCAGCGGCGGACGGGUGAGUAAUGCCUAGGAAUCUGCCUGGUAGUGGGGGAUAACGUCCGGAAACGGGCGCUAAUACCGCAUACGUCCUGAGGGAGAAAGUGGGGGAUCUUCGGACCUCACGCUAUCAGAUGAGCCUAGGUCGGAUUAGCUAGUUGGUGGGGUAAAGGCCUACCAAGGCGACGAUCCGUAACUGGUCUGAGAGGAUGAUCAGUCACACUGGAACUGAGACACGGUCCAGACUCUACGGGAGGCAGCAGUGGGGAAUAUUGGACAAUGGGCGAAAGCCUGAUCCAGCCAUGCCGCGUGUGUGAAGAAGGUCUUCGGAUUGUAAAGCACUUUAAGUUGGGAGGAAGGGCAGUAAGUUAAUACCUUGCUGUUUUGACGUUACCAACAGAAUAAGCACCGGCUAACUUCGUG